rnacentral:rRNA from 1 species
GUGCCAGCCGCCGCGGUAAUACGGAGGGUGCAAGCGUUAAUCGGAAUUACUGGGCGUAAAGCGCGCGUAGGUGGUCGGAAAAGUUGGAGGUGAAAGCCCUGGGCUCAACCUGGGAAUUGCAUUCGAUACUGUCUGGCUAGAGUCUGGUAGAGGGGGGUGGAAUUCCCGGUGUAGCGGUGAAAUGCGUAUAUAUCGGGAGGAACAUCAGUGGCGAAGGCGACCACCUGG